GGGAAAGUGGCUCAGUGGUAGAGUGCUUGCCUUGCAUGCAUGAGGCCCUGGGUUCAAUUCCUCAGCACCA
rfam:Dipodomys ordii contig_44530, whole genome shotgun sequence.